UACGAAGGGGGCUAGCGUUGUUCGGAAUUACUGGGCGUAAAGGGCGCGUAGGCGGUGGAUCAAGUCAGGCGUGAAAGCCCCGGGCUCAACCUGGGAACCGCGCUUGAGACUGGUGCGCUAGAGUUCGGGAGAGGAUGGUGGAAUUCCCAGUGUAGAGGUGAAAUUCGUAGAUAUUGGGAAGAACACCGAUGGCGAAGGCAGCCAUCUGGACCGACACUGACGCUGAGGCGCGAAAGCCAGGGGAGCAAACGGG
rnacentral:rRNA from 1 species